CAGUAUGGUGCCUGGCUUCUGAGCAAGAUUGAUGUUGAUUCAUGUGCCAUCGUAGCUGAUGUUCAUAAAGUGAUCCCCUUCUCUGCGAGGGACAUUAAUUCAGUCUUGGGUGUACCAUGCAGCGGGAGAACCAUUGAGACCUGUAACCAAGAUGAGGUAGAAAGGAAUAAAAGGAUUCUUUGUGAUAUUUCUGAGGUUCCACACUUUUCACAGGUUACUGUUAAGUUUUUGGAGAAAAUUCUUAAUAAACAUCAUAUCCGAUGA
rnacentral:rRNA from 1 species